GCUAAAUGCUGGGCUGCAGCGUGUGGAAUAGGGAGGGGGAAAGCGUGAAUCUGAAUUACUGAGGGUAAAGCAGGGGCAGACGGUUAUAAAAGACAGAGUUGAAAUCCCCGGGGGCAACCGGGGAACUGCAUUUGUGACUGUAUAGCUAGAGUACGGCAGAGGGGGAUGGAAUUCCGCGUGUAGCAGUGAAAUGCGUAGGUAUGCGGAGGAACACCGAUGGCGAAGGCAAUCCCCUGGGCCUGUACUGACGCUCAUGCACGAAAGCGUGGGGAGCAAACAGGAUUAGAUACCCGGGUAGUC
rnacentral:rRNA from 1 species